ensembl:lncRNA MIR7515HG MIR7515 host gene
UUCACAAAGACGUUAUUGGUGAUUCAAUCUUGAGUCAUGAAAAGUCAACCUUGAGCCACAAAAAGUCAACCUUGAGCCAAGCAGAUUGGAGAGUCAUACAUGCCAUUCCUGGGACCAUCAAAAAUGGCAGAGGUCACACAAAAAGGCAAAACUUUUAAGAGGUGUUUUAAACGUCGUAUGGGCCAAAGAGAAGCUGGAUUUCCUAUUGGAGUCACCUGUAACACACGUGUGACGAAAUUGGCCUGUGAGGACAAGGCAGUGAGCAGAGAGGACAGCAGUCCUUAUGAGAUCAAGCUCUAAGGUGAGGUUGCAGGAUCUGAAGGCCAGCUCCCCUGCUUGCUCACUGUAUGACUUUAGGUAUCCUAGACACAUUUGGAGAAUUCACCUGAGCUACAGGAUGUGGUAAGAUUUGGUGAGCAGGUGGUGAUUCUUACAGAAUCCCUCACACAUUCAUGCACAGAACUUCCCCAGCACACUCCCAGGUAGGACCACUUCCCUCUUCAUUGUGCAAAGAUUCACCACUGGUUCCAGCCUUCUCUGGCACUUUUAAGAUAUGCAUCAGGUUUUAUUCAUCUCUGAUUUUCUAGCCUCUGGCAGACUACCUGGUGUACCAGAGGCUUUGUAAGUAAUAGUUAAAUAAAGAGAAAACAUUAAAGCAACAUUGAAGGAAGAGGGUUAACCAGACUACAGAUUUGAGACCUCUAUCUCAGAGGGCCAACAGUCAUGUUGAUGUUUUCAUGCUUUCUUGGAUAUAAAAGUCACACUACACUUUCCCUCUCGGUGACCAUGUACAAAGGUUCAUUUAUAAUUAAUAGACAAAGUCUUUAAUAAAGCAAACC